UCCCUAUGAGCUGAUUUGCCCAAACUAUCAUGAAAAACCAGCACAAAGCACAAAUCAUAAACAUGUUCCAAUGGUCUAAGACUAUGAACUGAGCCUAAUAGCCACUUGGAGAAGUGACUGACUGAGUAACCGGGGGUGUAUCACCCAUGUACACAAUCGCGUAAAAAGGUUAGUGACUUUUUCAGGCAAAAAUAAGUUUCGAUGGUCUAGACUAUGAACAGAGCUAGUAGCCACUUGAACAAGUGACUAACUGAGUAACCGGGGGUGUAUCACCCAUGUACACAAUCGCGUAAAAAGGUUAGUGACUUUUUCAGGCAAGGAUAAGAAUAAGUGCUGCUGAAAAUAAAAAUAAAAAUAAAAUAAAAAGGAGAAAGAGAGAAG
rnacentral:lncRNA from 1 species